UACGUAGGCAGCGAGCGUUGUUCGGAGUUACUGGGCGUAAAGGGUGUGUAGGCGGUUGUUUAAGUUUGGUGUGAAAUCUCCCGGCUCAACCGGGAGGGUGCGCCGAAUACUGAAUGACUUCGAGUGCGGGAGAGGAGAGUGGAAUUCCUGGUGUAGCGGUGAAAUGCGCAGAUAUCAGGAAGAACACCAAUGGCGAAAGCAGCUCUCUGGGACGGUACUGACGCUGAGACGCGAAAGCGUGGGGAGCGAACAGG
rnacentral:rRNA from 1 species